rnacentral:lncRNA from 1 species
CCCUAAGCUUUUAUAUAAUAGUGCGCACGGUCCAGACCCGUUAGAAAUUCAGUUUUAAUUCUUUUAAAUUUGUUUUUGAUUCAGUUUAUUCACAGAAAUGCCAUUCAUUUUGUUUUAUGCAUAACUUUCACGUUUUAAGUCCGAUUAGAGUGAUUCUUUCGCUCAUGUGUUCGUAGAAAUGCGUAGAGUAGAUUUAUAUACUUUUUAGUUACUGUUUUUACUGCCUAGUGUACUGUUCUAAUAGAACUCUAUUUGUAUGCAUGUGAUGAUUGGACUGGAUGCUUGAUUGGUGUUUGGAUCGCGAUUAGAAGGUGAUCAGGUUGGGGUGGUUGAGGAGCAGUUUGUGGAGCUCUACCAGGAGGAAACUUUUGAGGAAGGCAAGUGUAAUUAUAGACUUCCUUGUACCUAUGAAUAUUAUUUAAUUCAUACAUAUGCAUGUGUCUAAAUUGAAAUACCAAUAAGGACUUUACCUGGAUAAAUUUUGUACCACAAAUCCUUGAUACCCAUGGGAAGGUGUGCAUUUAUUUAGGUAGUUGCUGCUAUGCUUAAAUCCCAAAUUAAUAAGUUAACCUGAUUAAUUGGUAUAUGCAAUGUGAUAAAAUAUGUUCUAGUAAUUUGGUUCAGGGGGCUAGAGCUUGGGUUUGAAAGCUCUAGAUUUCUAUAUCUUUCAUUCAGCUCUGGAACCACCUCAAUAUCUGUUACCGUUUGAGAGAUAAAAUUGUUACAAGGUGACCUCUCUGCGCAGUCAGAAAUCCCAGAACAGAGAAAGUGAUCUGAAUGAAAGUUGUAGGAAAAUUUCCAAGCUUUCCGGAAAGUUAAAUUUCGCAGUCAGACGUUAAACAGAGAGAAAGAUAUGCUUGUUUUACUUCACUGUAGUUAUAGUGAGGACAGCAGAAAAAUACAGAAUAUAUACUACCUUGUACCCACAACAUAUGUAAUCCCGUACUUGAUCAGAUGGUAUAAAUUCCAGCAUGUUACAUCUCUUGAAAAUUAAGUAUCUUGGACAUGUGAGACUCAUAUUGUGUAUCUGGUACAGAUGGCCAACACUAGGAGGAACAGGAGGGGUGAGGACUUGCCACCACCACCACCACCUCCUACUAUGGAGCAGCUGAUGAUGAUGCAAACACAACUGCUGCAGCAGCUGGCUCAAAAUAUGCAGAACAAUGGCAAUGGGAAUGGAAACGCACCUCCUCAUGUUAGGGACAAGAGAGGAGAAUUCUUGAAGGGACAUCCACCUGUUUUUAAACACUCCACCGACCCUCUCGAAGCUGAGGACUAGCUUGAUGCUCUUGAAAGACAACUGGAGAUUGCGCAGUGUGAUGACAGAGAGAAAGUGUUGUAUGCAGCGGGACAACUGCAAGGAGCUGCCCUUGAUUGGUGGAAUUCUUUCCGUUUUGGCCGUACAGAUGCUAACCCCAUAACCUGGAUGGAGUUCCGUAAUGCUUUCCGCUCUCAUCAUGUCCCUGCCGGACUAAUGAAACUGAAAAAGAAAGAAUUUCUCUCCCUCAAGCAAGGAGGUAUGUCUGUUGCUGAAUAUCGGGACAGGUUCAUACAACUAUCACGAUAUGCUCCCACUGAAGUGGAGAACGAUGAAAAGAGGCAGGAACUAUUUAUGGAAGGGUUGAAUGAUGGGCUCCAGUACCAACUGCUAUCCCACACUUUUGCAAGCUUUCAGUAUCUGGUGGACAAGGCCCUGGUGAUUGAAAACAAACGCCAUCAGAUGGGAAGAUAAGAAAAGGAAGUUCCAGGGACAACAGUCAGGGAACAACACGCGUAAUCGUACCAAUCCUCAGCAAGCUUAUCCACAACUGCGCUAUCAGGGAUAGUCAAGCCUGGUCAAUCGUAACCAGCAGCCACAACGUGCACAGCAGCAGCAGCAGUACAGAGCUCCUAACCAACGUCAGCAGCCAGUCAAUAAUGCUCCCGUAAAAACAAAUGUUCCCAAUGCUCCACCAAAGAAUGGUGCACCAAAGCACCAAAUGCCAACAAUGAUAACAAAUGUUACAGCUGUGGUGAGCCGGGACAUUACUCCAAUAGGUGCCCCAAGAAGAUGGCCCAAAACAAUAUCAGAGGAAGGGUAAAACAUGUAACAGCCGAGGCGGCACAGGAGGCACCGGACGUGAUGCUCGGUAUGUUUCUAGUUAACUCAAGCCCCGCUACAGUUUUAUUUGAUUCCGGUGCAUCACAUUCCUUUAUUGCUCAGUCAUUUGUCAAGAAAUAUGAUAUACCCAUGGUUGCUAUGAAAAAUUCCAUGAUAGUUAGCUCACCUGGAGCAGAGAUGCAAGCUACCCUUAGAUGCCCUCUAGUGAACAUCACCUUAAGGGGGGUAGAGUUUACAGUUAGCCCAGUGGUUUUGAAAACUUCUGGUAUUGAUGUUAUCUUGGGUAUUGAAUGGUUGAGACAGAGAAAGGCAGUUAUACAAUGUGAUAGCAAAACAGUUCAGUUAAUGACACCUUCGGGCCAACAGAUUGAGGUAGAGGUCAGUAUGUCAGCUAAACAAUACUACACAGUUAAUCAACUGAAGGGGACAUCAAUAGAGGACAUAUGAAUAGUGAAUGAGUAUCUGGACGUAUUUCCCUGAGGAACUGCCAGGUAUGCCACCUGACCGUGACAUUGAGUUUAUAAUUGAACUUUUACCAAAAACUACACCCAUAGCUAAAAGACCAUAUAGAAUGGGAGUGAAUGAAUUAGCAGAACUUAAGAAGCAAUUAAGAGAAUUGCUAGAUAAGGGUUAUGUUCAACCAAGUUCCUCACCUUGGGGAGCACCAGUGUUAUUCGUAGAAAAGAAAGAUGGGACACAAAGAAUGUGUAUAGAUUACAGAUCGCUUAGUGAGGGUACAAUUAAGAACAAGUAUCCACUCCCUAGAAUCGAUGACCUGUUUAACCAGUUGAAAGGAGCUUGUGUGUUUUCUAAGAUAGACCUUCGGUCUCGUUAUCAUCAGUUAAGGAUAAGAUGAUCUGAUAUCCCUAAAACUGCUUUUGUGACUCGAUACGGACUACAUGAGUUUACAGUCAUGUCCUUUGGCUUGACAAAUGCACCUGCCUACUUUAUGUAUCUGAUGAAUGUUUUCUCUAAGAAUGAGAUAGAACAUGAGAAACACUUAAGAUUGGUGCUGCAAAAGCUUAGAGAACAUCAACUCUAUGCUAAGCUUAGUAAGUGUGAGUUUUGGUUAAAAGAGGUAUCUUUCCUUGGGCACAUCAUCUCUAACAGAGGGGUAGCAGUAGACCCGAAAAAGGUUCAGGAUGUGUUGAGCUGGAAGCCACCCAAAGAUGUGAGUGAAAUUAGGAGUUUCCUUGGAAUGGCCGGGUACUAUAGAAGAUUCAUUGAGAGUUUCUCUAAGUUAGCCAAACCCAUGACCGCUCUACUAGAAAAGAAUGCCAAAUUUAUAUGGUCUAAAGAGUGUCAGGCCAGUUUCAAAGAGUUGAAAAAGAGACUGACUUCUGCCCCGUACUCAUCUUACCCGAUAUCACUAAGAGUUUCUCUAUCUACUGUGAUGCCUCUCGGCAAGGUCUUGGUUGUGUGCAGAUGCAGGAAGGUAGAGUCGUGGCCUAUGCCUCUAGACAAUUGAGGAAACAUGAGUUGAAUUACCCAACCCAUGAUUUAGAGUUAGCAGUUGUGGUGCACGCUCUAAAAAUAUGGAGGCACUAUCUAAUUGGGCAUAAAUGUGAGAUUUAUACAGAUCAUAAGAGUUUGAAAUAUAUCUUCACCCAGUCUGAUUUGAACUUAAGGCAGCGAAGGUGGUUGAAACUGAUUAAGGACUAUGACCUGGAAGUACACUAUCACCCGGGUAAAGCUAAUGUAGUGGCAGAUGCCCUGAGUACGAAGAACUAUGUUAAUAUGGCUUAUGUAACUCAGUUACCUAGGGAGUUGUGCAAAGAGUUUGAAAAUCUGAACUUGAGUAUAGUAGCUAACACUAUGGGAUUGGAGGUUGAACCCACAUUAGAACAAGAUAUCCGUAAAGGACAGCUGGCAGAUGAGAAAAUUAAAGAUAUCUCUGAACGGAUAGUGAUUGGUAAGGCACCAGGUUUUCAUAUGGAUGACCAGGGAACAGUAUGGUUCGGUAAGAGGAUUUGUGUACCUGAGGUAAAGUCUAUUAGAGAAGCUAUUCUGAGAGAAGCUCAUGACUCAGCCUAUUCUAUACACCCGGGUAGCACUAAAAUGUACCUCGACCUUAAAGAAAGAUAUUGGUGGUAUGGCUUGAAAAGAGAUGUAGCACAAUAUGUGGCUAUAUGUGAUACGUGCCAACGAGUAAAAGCAGAACAUCAGAGACCAGCAGGAUUACUUCAACCUAUGAAAAUACCUGAGUGGAAGUGGGAAGAAGUUGGAAUGGAUUUCAUAGUGGGACUACCUCGAACACAGAAAGGAUACAAUUCUAUCUGGGUUAUUGUGGAUCGAUUAACCAAGGUAGCUCACUUCAUCCCUGUCAAGACUACCUACUCCAGGGCAAAGUUGGCGGAGUUGUACAUGGAAAGGAUUGUGUGUUUACAUGGGGUGCCAAAGAAAAUUGUUUUGGAUAGAGGGACACAGUUUACAUCACACUUUUGGCAGAAACUACACGAAUCCAUGGAUACAAAAUUGAAUUUUAGUUUGGCCUACCAUCUCAAACAGAUGGGCAGACAGAAAGAACAAAUCAGAUCCUAGAAGAUAUGUGGAGAGCUUGUGCCCUGCAGUAUGGGACAAGUUGGGACAAAAGUUUGCCCUACGUAGAGUUCUCCUAUAAUAAUUGUUAUCAGAAGAGUGUCAAAAUGGCACCUUUUGAGGUAUUAUAUGGCAGGAAAUGCAGGACACCAUUGUUUUGGAGUCAAAUUGGGGGAAGUCAAGUUUUGGGCCAGAGAUUUUGCAAGAAGCAGAGAAAAAGGUGCACAGAGUAAGACAGAACUUGAAAAUAGCACAAUCUCGACAGAAAAGUUAUGCAGACACAAGGAGAAGGGAUUUGGAAUUUCAGAUAGGAGAUUAUGUGUAUCUCAAGGUCUCACCUAUGAGAGGAGUCAAGAGAUUUCAUACCAAGGGGAAGUUGUCUCCUAGGUAUGUGGGACCCUUUAAGAUCCUUGCCAAGAGAGGAGAAGUUGCCUAUCAGCUGGAGUUACCAAAGCAACUCUCUAGUGUUCACAAUGUCUUCCAUGUGUCGCAACUUAAGAAGUGUCUAAGAAUACCUGAGGAAUAGUUACCUCUGGAAGAGCUCGAUGUUCAAAAAGAUCUUUCCUAUAAAGAAUAUCCUGCAAGAAUUUUUUAGACAGCAGAAAGAAUCACCACGAGCAAGGUCAUAAGAAUGUGCAAAGUACAGUGGAACAGGCAUUCAAAAGAUGAAGCAACAUGGGAAAGAGAGGAUGAAUUGAGAUCUGAGCACCCUUAUCUUUUUGAGCCAACCGAAUCUCGAGGACGAGAUUCAUCCUAUGGGGGUAGGUUUGUAACACCCUAAAAAAAUUAAUUUUCAAAUUAGUAUUUAAUUUGGCAUAAUUAUAGGGUUUACUGAGAAUUGUUUAGGCAAAAUAACAAUUUUUGGAAUUAUCUAAAAUAAACUAUAAUGUCUAGAAACAUGAAAUGCUGCAUUCAUGCUGGUGCAUAAUAUUUUGAUUGAUUGUAAGACUAGGUUGUUUGGUUUAAAAAUCAAUUAGAACGGAAUUUAUACAACUUUACAGCUCUGAAAAAUAUAAAAGAGUUUUCCUUUUAUCUUUAUUCCUUCACCGACUUUGGCCCAGCCCCAAACCCUGGCCCGGCUUAAACCCGCGCUCACCCCUAGCUUUGGGCUGUUGUCAGCCCAGCACCCCACCCCCGCCCGCGACGCGCACGCGGCCCAGUGGCGCGGCCCGCUCCGCGCGGACAGCCCGCGCGCCUCCCCCUUCCCCCUCUCACUGUGUGGUAGGACCCGCCUGUCAGCGCUCUCCCUUCCCCUCUCUCUCUCGCUGCGCCGUGGGGCCCGCUUGUCAACGCCUCCCCCUUUCUUCCUUGCUGAGCCGGGAGCGCGCGGUGGCAUUGAACGCCAUCAAUCCCCCCGCCUUCAAGCUCCGAUUGAUGGACGCCAUCAAUCGACCAUCAAGCCGCCUUGAUGCCGGGCAUAAUCACCCGAGCGUUCGCCCCCUCAGUGCCUCGUCUCGCCCUAUAAAGCUCGCGGCUGAGCUCCCCUUUCCCCCUUCUGUUCGUGAACCGAGCUCAAUCUCCCCCGCCCCAAAAUUCUCCGUCCCGAGACCGCGGUGGACGCUGCGAGCUUGCGCAGCACGUUUGCCUGACGAUACUGCGACCGUAAGUACACUCCCCCUCUAGUUUUCUUCACGUUUUGGUCAAAACCAAGCUCAAAGCCGUUUCUCCCUUCCAGUCCACCUCGCUCGUGGCCACGCUGCUCAGAUAUCUCCCGGACACUGCGAACGCCUUCAACGGAACCACGGUAGCCCCUCGAUGCUCCCCGUACCUAUAAUCGCGAGUCUAGAGCACUCUAAUGCCAAAACCGAGCCUCCUGAGGGCGCGGAAAUGGCGCCGCCGCGGGGCCGUCGUCCCGACGUGCUCCCCACCCUUUAUUUGUGUCCUAUCGUGUUCGCCUCGUCGCGCUGGUCAUUGUGGUGGCUUUAUUUUUGUUUCGCGUGGCCGGGAACGAGAUUCCAGCGAGCUCCGACGAGCUCACCUCGUCGGCGGCAAUGCCGCCGCCGUGGUCGGCCUCGGCCCAGGCGAGCGCCCCGCCCCCUUUCAUCCAGAGCCGUAUGAUCUGUUUUCAACGGCCCAGAUUACAUACCCCUUCGGGGUUGCGUAACCGGUCCACCGUGGACCAUGGGCGCGGUCCACGGGCGCUCGGUCGGCCGGUCCACGUGCACCGUGGUGGACCGAGCCAAUCCCGGCGUGACACGUGGCCCCCCUGUCGGUCAGCGACGCGGUCAGCCGCGGACCGCUGGAUAUUUUGCACUUUAACCCCCUCGUUUCAAGCAAAUCAACCCGCAGUCCAACUUAGUUCAAAAGUAUUUCUUUUUAAUCCUGUUUUCUUUCGUCUUAAACCUUGAGCUUUUAUAUAAUAGUGCACGCGGUCCAGACCCAUUAGAAAUUCAGUUUUAAUUCUUUUAAAUUCGUUUUUGAUUCAGUUUAUUCACAUAAAUGCCAUUCAUUUUGUUUUAUGCAUAACUUUCACGUUUUAAGUCCGAUUAGAGUGAUUCUUUCGCUCAUGUGUUCGUAGAAAUGCGUAGAGUAGAUUUAUAUACUUUUUAGUCACUGUUUUUACUGCUUGGUGUACUGUUCUAUUUGUAUGCAUGUGAUGAUUGGACUGGAUGCUUGAUUGGUGUUUGGAUCACGAUUAGAAGGUGAUCAGGUUGGGGUGGUUGAGGAGCAGUUUGUGGAGCUCUACCAGGAGGAAACUUUUGAGGAAGGCAAGUGUAAUUAUAGGCUUCCUUGUACCUAUGAAUAUUAUUUAAUUCAUACAUAUGCAUGUGUCUAAAUUGAAAUACCUAUAAAGACUUUACCUAGAUAAAUUUUGUACCACAAAUCCUUGAUACCCAUGGGAAGGUGUGCAUUUAUUUAGGUAGUUGCUGCUAUGCUUAAAUCCCAAAUUAAUAAGUUAACCUGAUU